rnacentral:rRNA from 1 species
CCUACGGGAGGCAGCAGUGAGGAAUAUUGGUCCAUGGCCGCAGGGCUGAACCAGCCAAGUCGCGUGAGGGAUGACGGUCCUAUGGAUUGUAAACCGCUUUUGUCAGGGAGCAAAGGGCGCCACGUGUGGCGUUUUGCGAGGACCUGAAGAAAAAGCAUCGGCUUACUCCGUGCCAGCAGCCGCGGUAAUACGGAGGAUGCGAGCGUUAUCCGGAUUGAUUGGGUUUAAAGGGUGAGCAGGAGGAAUGUCAAGUCAGCGGUAAAAUUUCGGGGCUCAACCAUAGAUUUGCCGUUGAAAAUGGGAGGCUUGAGUAUGUUUGAGGCAGGCGGAAGGCGGGGUGUAGCGGUGAAAUGCUUAGAUAUCACGCAGAACCCCGAUUGCGAAGGCAGCCUGCCAAGCCAUGACUGACGCUGAUGCACGAAAGCGUGGGGAUCAAACAGGAUUAGAUACCCCAGUAGUC